GGCCCGGCCGGCGGGGCUGAGCCUGUGCGUCCUGGGGUGAGGCCUGGGAGGGGCCCGGCCGGCGGGGCUGAGCCUGUGCGUCCUGGGGUGAGGCCUGGGAGGGGCCCGGCGGGGCUGAGCCUGUGCGUCCUGGGGUCGGGCCUGGCGGGGCUGAGCCUGUGCGUCCAGCCACCGGGCCCGGCGCCCUCCCUCUCCCACUUCCUCUCCUGUCAGGAACCAGCCCGAGGCCACCAGGGUGCUCCUGAGUGCUGGGUGCCGGGCGGACGCCAUCAACAGCACCCAGAGCACAGCACUGCACGUGGCCGUGCAGAGGGGCUUCCUGGAGGUGGUGCGGGCCCUGUGUGAGCGCGGCUGUGACGUCAACCUGCCCGACGCCCACUCGGACACGCCCCUGCACUCCGCCAUCUCGGCGGGCACUGGAGCCAGCGGCAUUGUCGAGGUCCUCACGGAGGUGCCAAACAUCGAUGUUACCGCCACCAACAGCCAGGGUUUCACCCUGCUGCACCAUGCCUCCCUCAAGGGUCACGCGCUGUGAGUGUGGGGUGGGCACACAGCUGCAGCCGGCCUCUUGCUGUGCUGCCUGGGGGCAGUCCCAGGUCCCAGACCAACCUCCCUGCUCCACAGAGCUGUGAGAAAGAUUCUGGCUCGGGCGCGGCAGCUGGUGGACGCCAAGAAGGAGGACGGCUUCACGGCGCUGCAUCUGGCUGCCCUCAACAACCACCGCGAGGUGGCCCAGAUCCUCAUCCGGGAGGGCCGCUGUGACGUGAACGUGCGCAACCGGAAGCUGCAGUCCCCGCUGCAUCUCGCCGUGCAACAGGCCCACGUGGGGCUGGUGCCGCUACUGGUGGACGCUGGGUGCAGUGUCAACGCCGAGGACGAGGAGGGGGACACAGCCCUGCACGUGGCGCUGCAGCGUCAUCAGCUGCUGCCCCUGGUGGCUGAUGGGGCCGGGGGGGACCCAGGGCCCUUGCAGCUGCUGUCCAGGCUACAGGCCUCGGGCCUCCCCGGCAGCGCGGAGCUGACGGUGGGCGCGGCGGUCGCCUGCUUCCUGGCGCUGGAGGGCGCCGACGUGAGCUACACCAACCACCGCGGUCGGAGCCCGCUGGACCUGGCCGCCGAGGGUCGCGUGCUCAAGGCCCUUCAGGGCUGCGCCCAGCGCUUCCGGGAGCGGCAGGCGGGCGGGGGCGCGGCCCCGGGCCCCAGGCAAACGCUCGGGACCCCCAACACCGUGACGAACCUGCACGUGGGCGCCGCGCCGGGGCCCGAGGCCGCUGAGUGCCUGGUGUGCUCCGAGCUGGCGCUGCUGGUGCUGUUCUCGCCGUGCCAGCACCG
rnacentral:lncRNA from 1 species